CCCCAAUAUGACUGCAUUACAAACAAGGCUAGAAAGACAACAACAAAAUUUAAGGACUGCACUGAAGAUGCGCAGGGAAAAAAAACACCCAUCACCAAACAAACAAAGAAAGGACACACACUUUCAGCUGUAGGAAGAGCAGCGUGCAGACCACGAAGGGCAUUCCUGGAAGGACCUCCAGGCAGAGAUGGCCGUGUUUCAGCACGUGCAAUUGCAGAACUCAUGGCUGAAACGACUCCGCUGCACAGAAGUGAAGGGAUUCCCUCCACCAGUGUGUCUCCAGCACACGAGUCCCUGCUGUCACAUCAAGGUGGCCCAGGCGAGCCAAACAGAAAGGGCUGCAUUUGUUCACAGGAAGGGAGGCAUGAAGGGCUAGAGGAGGAAUAGCUGGACCCAGAGCUCACACAGGAGAAGGCUCUUGUCUGCAACAGCUUGGACAGGAGUAGCUUACAGAGCCAGACAAAAAUUCAACCUACCCAGAUAUGGAUGUGGAGGGAUGGGACGGCUAAAAACUAGCUGGUGCCAAAUCCCAGUCACGGAUGAAUGAAAUGGAAAAUAAAAUGAACAGAAGAGUCCAGUUCCUGAGCAGUCAGGAAUUUCUGAUCUAUGCACCUCUGGGACACAGUAUUUCCAUACCUCAGCCUUGCUUUUUGAGACUUCACAGACAUCUGCUGCAGUGAACAUCCCUGCCAGCAAACACAUGUUCCAAGGGUCUGUAUUUGCCUGCACCUCAUCGUAAAGCAAUGGAGAAGAGUCUGGUUCACAGCACCCUCUGCAUUGCCCAAUAACAGGCAGAAAUAAGUUGUUAGAUUAAUGGGGUUUCCAUGUACUGGGCAGCAUUUAUCAGAACUAGGUGCAUAAAGAGAGGCUGCAAGACCCUUGUCUUGGCAUCUGAAAGGGAUAACUUGAUUUUCAGAAGUGCUCAGCACCACUGAUGAGAAUUACAGAUACUGGCUUGUGUAUGGGAACAGCUGAAUUUAACAUCUAUUUAGGCUGUCAGAGCACUAAAAGGAACUGUGUAAAGAAACUCCAGAUCCAGGCUUAAGGAAAAAGUUUAUCAUAUUUCAUCCAAAAAAGAAAUAUUAAAAAAAGAACACAAGAGAGGGAGAGAACGAAGACACUGAGUUCAGAGCUCGAUUUUAAGACCGCUGAUUUACCAGUGUUCAAAUCAAGAGUGUGCUCUCCUUUUCUUCUUUCAAUCCACCACUCACCCAAGCCUUGCAGAGGUCAGCAUGCCCUGAAACCAGGAUCCCAGAAAAGGCCUGGACAAACAUUCAUGGUGCUUUCCAAACUGCAUUAGCAAAGAUUAAAUACAAGCAAGAUUGAAAGGGAUAUAAAACUCCUGCUUAAGCCUUCUCUCUCAGCUCAAGGGCAAAGAAAUCUGCAUCCAGGUCAUCUCAUUUCAUAAUUGCUUCCCUCAGAGGGCUUUAACCACCACCUUUGACGCAUCUGGUCUUUGUCACUCCUGGAGAGGGUGACACUCAGAGCAUCAAUCCCCUUAAAUCAGCCCAGCUGUACAUACAACAUAUCUCAUGAGCCACAUACCCACUAUUUUUCAGUCUGAUUAUGGUCCGGGCAGAGAGGCAUCAAGCUUCUGCCCAUUUAUGCAUCACUCUUGCAGUGCUUUCUGCCUGUUUGAACAUGUUUCAUCAAGCCUACUUCUCUCCGUCACAGUUCCUGGUCGGGAGUUGGGGCAGCUGCAUUUGCCUCUCAGUGAAUUUCAGAUAACAUUUAUGAGGCUGCAUUAGUUUGGCCUUGGCAGCCCUCACCCCUCAGACCUCCUGCCAACACACCAGACCAGUUUCUGCUGACCCUGCAGAAGGCACUGGCAUGGUCAUUACAGGUGUCCCACCUUGCUGGCUUUCUGUUCCUUGCUGAGGGAGCAGAGAUUGUUCAGGAUAUGGCACUCAUGGUGGUUUCAGGCUAGUACAAGAAUUGAAGUUGCUGAAUCCAUGUCCAGCAGGAGCUGCCAAGGACAGAUAUGUUGGCCCAGCUGCCUCUGUUCUGCUGUCUGGAGGUGUGAACUGGGGCUGCGGGGCAACAUCUGCAAGGAGAAACUGUUCCCACAGUUCACCCCUGAGAGGUGCCUUUAGGCAGGCCCCCAACAAGAGCUGCUGCCUCUCUUGAAGCACAGUUUCUCUCUCAUUUCAGCUUCAGUCAUGAGCUCCCCUCAAAAUGCCCUCCCAAAAAUCCCAGUGGUUUUUAGAUAAGCACAGUGAGUCAUAAAAGCCCGAAGAAAAUGCUUCUCCUUUCUCCAUGGAAGAAAAGCACUGAAGCAUCCUCUUUUGAAUUUCACUGAGGUUCUGGUUGGGGCCUUUUUUGGGACAAACUGUUUUCUUCUUGGAGCCUUUUUUUUUUUCCAUACCUACAUGUCAGAGAGCAUUAAAUGAAGAGUAUCAAAGUCUUGUUCUCUCACCACCAUUUGCAGCUGAGCUUGACAGGAGAGCUAGGCUCCAUCUCAGUGGAAGGGGAUGACAUUGUCCAUGGCUGCUGUGACAAGGAACAGGUCAGUCUGAGCACAAGGAGCCAGUUUGAACCCAUGCCUCCUGAAGUAUUCACACUUAAGGUCAUAUGUUUUCUUCAAAAAAGCCUAAUAAGGAGGAGUUUUUCAAAGGAGCAGAUAAUUAAAUUGCAAAUGUCAGUUUGGAGUUUCUCAGACUCCCUCAGAGGACAGAUGCUGUCAAAAUAGACUGAAUUCUUGCAGGCGACCCAUGCUUGAGGAACAGCAGAAUGGGAUGGGUGCUCAAGCACGAGUCUUCAGGGAGCGAGAGCUAGCCAAUAUUCUGGACAGCAGGAGUGCACUCAUGCUAAAGGAAAACAUCAGUAGGAAGUGGCCUAACAACCUUUCACAGAGGGCUGUUAGCUGGGACAGAGAGGUCAAAGCGUCCUCAGGGAGACCCCUACAAGCUUGCUUAAUAAAACCCAGCCACCCUGUCCCCAGAAAGAAACAUUACUGGAAUUCUUCUAGGCUUAUUGGAAAAUGUGGAGGGACUGGCCAGUUAGGGUGUGGGUCUCCACAGCUAAGCCAUACCAUGAAGAAGCCUCGGGGGAGCCCCAGUUUUACACAUUUUGCAUGUGCACAGCUGCUUUUUCCAGAGCUGAGUGCCCUCCCCCUUGGCCACACCACUGCUGGAUGUCAGCUCCCUGCCAGUAGGCAACAGCCCCUGCACUGGCAGCACAGUGCUUCCUGGAGGUUUCAUUGAGGCUAGCGGGGAGAUGCUGCAGUGGCUGCAACAGAGCUGUUGGCACUACUCAAGGAAGCAGCAUUUCUAAUCCCAGGCUGUGCUUGCUCCAUUCUCAUUGCUUCAUCAGCAUCUCUGGUGGCAAAAAAACCAAGUGCCUCUCAGCAGCCUGUCAUAUACCUCAGUACAGUGAGGUUAUGCUCUCCAGAGGAGUGUAAACUUGUACCUUCAUCUUGUCUUUUGCACCCCAAAGUCUCCCCAGAGACUGACAGAAAUACAGUAACUGGUAGUGGAGCCAGCUUCAAAAAAAAAAAAAAAAAAGGGCAGGGGCAGGAAUGAUGGAUAGAAGGGUUCUACAGAAGUUCCCAGCCGAACAAAAGUACUCUAUGAGUCAAGCUACAGUGCCAUGGUCAAGUUUUUAUGGAAUCAUGCAUAGAGAGCUCUGCCUCUCCUGUCACACACGGACAACCCCCCAACAGUGGCCAACCCUUUUUUUAAGCACCAUUAUCAUUCCUGUGUAUCAUUCAGUAGCAAGCCUCACUGCUUUUGACAGGUCAUAGUAAUUGCCCUGAAAAGACUACUUCUGUUAAGCUUGUCUUAAAUCACUUUCCUAAGUAACAGGAUGAAAUUCAGAAAGCCGGCAUUAAAAUAAACUUGCUGGCUGGUGAAACCUAGUGCACUGACAGCACAGAGACACUGUGGGUGCUUUUUCUGUGGGACUUCAAAAAAAAAAAAGACUGCUAGCGGAGGUUUGUAGUUUUUAAUUGCAUAUGACCUCAUGCACCACAUUUGUGUUUUCCUCACACCUCCCCACCACUACUAUACAUGCUUGCAAUUCUGGAAUUGAAGCAUAAGCAAAAUAGAUUAAGACUCGAAAGAACAGGAUUUUUGCAUGGUUAAACCUCAGCUGGACCUGCCAAAACUUAAUGCUAGCCAAAGUUUUGGAAGAGAUCUCAGCCCGGGUUUUAAACUAAUUCCUAACUAUCAGAAGUUGCAGGGAGAUACGUAUAGAGCCAGAAGGUGGGGGAGGAAAGAAAGGGCUUGUAUGAGAACACUGCCUAUAGCCGUUGUCCAGCAGAGAAGUUUGGAAUCUAGAGAGGGAUAGCAAACUCAUCUAAGACUUUUCAGCUACAGGAAGGAGGCAACUGAGCGACAUGUGGCAGAGGUGCCUGCAAAGGGCCUGAAAAAGACAAAGAGCAGUCGGUAAUUCACCACCUUUUUUAAUGCAACACCCAGAGUACAACAAAAUGAGGUAUUAGGAGUCAGCAUCACACCAAACAGGAGAUAGUUCCUCAUACAGUUUGUAGUCAAAACCACCAACCUCCUUGCAAAGCAAUGCCACAGAAACUAAAACACUAAGGGACCUAACAAGGAGGGUGAACAAGCUCAAGUGACACAAAUCCACAACAAUACGUAGAAAUUGCACCCUUCUCAUGAAUCUCCAAGCUAAACACUUUCUAGGCAUCUGCAACCUCAUACAUUGUCCUGGGCUAAAGUGACCUCGGGAUGUGUUUACCGGGAGCAGGCUCACAGUAAGCAAUCAGGCUGGAGAGAGCAAAACUGAAACGGUGCAGAUACUAUCAGAGCUGCUCUCCCUGCUCAAAGGCAGACUUCACAAAAGUUCAGUGUCUAAAGAGAGGCUCAAUGCAAGAAUAAACUGCUUAGAAAAAAGCAUGGAAACAGUGACCAAAAUAAAUAAAAGAAAAAAAAAAAAGGAUGCCUUAGCACUACUGUCAAGCAGUUGCAGGUGAAAUUUGUUUCCAGACUGGUUGCCUUGUUGUACACUUGCACUUUGAGUUUUUCUCCCCUUAAAGAAAAUGUUUGGUUUGUUGUUUGGUUGAAGCUGUUAGGAAGCAGUCAGCUGUUAUACAGAAUUAAAUGCUUUUUAUUAUGCAAAGGCUGAUGCUGUCUGAGCUGUAACUGCAUGAAUGUGAACAGCAUGUUAAUUGAAAGUCUGUAUGAUUACACCUUACUAUUAAAGGUCACUCAGCAUUUUGUGUUUGCCAAGUCAGCGCUUUUUGAUGCGUGCUGUAUGGACCUCUGGAUGUCUAUGCAUUAUUUCUAAGGUAUGUGCAAGAAUCAAAGCAAGCCCAUUGAGAGGUAGGCUUUAGCUCUCUGCAUGAAGGACCAUGUUCUUAGAUAUAAAACAUAAAAACAAAAAACACCCCAAACUUUUAACAAAGCCACAGUGCAAGUAUUUUUCCUGAGCUAUGCCUAGGAGCAUUGGGGUGGGGGUGUGAUUUAAGAAAAAGACAGCAUCUCUUAUUCAGAGAAUUAAGUGAUGCUUUUAGUAGACAUAUUGCAUUUACUGGUUUUGAUCAAUCUGUUCCAAGUAUAUUUAGCAAACUGACAGACUGCUUCUCUGCAGCAGGUAGUGUGCUUCCAUCAUAUUUAGGCAUCUCAGAUGGCAGAACAGUGUUUAUACAGGCUACAGGUCUGCUCCACACAGAUUUCUACUCCAUGGAAGCUAAAAUUUGGAUACGCCUAAAUGCCUCAUGAGCCUACCAGAAGCUACCUCUGUGUCUUUAAGCAACUAAAUUCUUUCCAAAACACAUGCCAACAUCUGCUGUCCCUUGAAAGCUUGCAGACCACAUCCUUUCCCAUGUGCUGUACAGUCUCUGUGUCCAGCUAAAUAUACACUGCUUUUAUGGAUGGAAGUAAAGGACAAGGUAUUGGGCAAGCUCAUUUUCAUUUUUCAAAUCAAUAUUACAAGCAUGGUUUAAGGUAGUGUCUCAAAGUGAUUAAAAUACUCAAUUACAAUGAAUGGUAAAAAAAAAAAAGGAAAAAACCAGAAACAAAAUAAAAAAUAAACAAAA